GAUGAACGCUGGCGGCGUGCCUAAUACAUGCAAGUCGAGCGAACGGACGAGAAGCUUGCUUUUCUGAUGUUAGCGGCGGACGGGUGAGUAACACGUGGAUAACCUACCUAUAAGACUGGGAUAACUUCGGGAAACCGGAGCUAAUACCGGAUAAUAUUUUGAACCGCAUGGUUCAAAAGUGAAAGACGGUCUUGCUGUCACUUAUAGAUGGAUCCGCGCUGCAUUAGCUAGUUGGUAAGGUAACGGCUUACCAAGGCAACGAUGCAUAGCCGACCUGAGAGGGUGAUCGGCCACACCGGAACUGAGACACGGGCCAGACUCCGAAGGGAGGCAGCAGUAGGGAAUCUUCCGCAAGGGGCGAAAGCCUGACGGAGCAACGCCGCGUGAGUGAUGAAGGUCUUCGGAUCGUAAAACUCUGUUAUUAGGGAAGAACAUAUGUGUAAGUAACUGUGCACAUCUUGAAGGUACCUAAUCAGAAAGCCACGGCUAACUACGUG
rnacentral:rRNA from 1 species